GUGCAAACGUUGUUCGGAUUUACUGGGCGUAAAGCGUGUGUAGGCGGCUUCGCAAGUUGGAUGUGAAAUCCCACGGCUCAACCGUGGACGUGCAUCCAAAACUGCGUCGCUAGAGUCUCGGAGAGGAAGGUGGAAUGCUUGGUGUAGAGGUGAAAUUCGUAGAUAUCAAGCAGAACACCUGCGGCGAAGGCGGCCUUCUGGACGAUGACUGACGCUGAGACACGAAAGCGUGGGGAGCAAACAGG
rnacentral:rRNA from 1 species